rnacentral:rRNA from 1 species
AGACGUCUACAUUAGAUACCCGGGUAGUCCCAGCCGUAAACUAUGCGCGUUAGGUGUAUCGGUGACCACGAGUCACCGAGGUGCCGAAGGAAACCGUGAAACGUGCCGCCUGGGAAGUACGGUCGCAAGGCUGAAACUUAAAGGAAUUGGCGGGGAGCACCACAACGGGUGGAGCCUGCGGUUUAAUUGGACUCAACGCCGGGAAGCUCACCGGAUAAGACAGCGGAAUGAUUGCCGGGCUGAAGACUCUGCAUGACUAGCUG